rnacentral:rRNA from 1 species
UACGUAGGUGGCGAGCGUUGUCCGGAUUUACUGGGCGUAAAGAGCGCGCAGGCGGCUGGGCAAGUCCGAUGUGAAAGCUUCCGGCUUAACUGGAAAAUUGCAUCGGAAACUGCUCGGCUUGAAGGUGGGAGAGGGUAGCGGAAUUCCCGGUGUAGUGGUGAAAUGCGCAGAUAUCAGGAAGAACACCCGUGGCGAAGGCGGCUCUCUGGGACGGUACUGACGCUGAGACGCGAAAGCGUGGGGAGCGAACAGG